AUUGAACGCUGGCGGCAGGCUUAACACAUGCAAGUCGAGCGGAGAUGAGGUGCUUGCACCUUAUCUUAGCGGCGGACGGGUGAGUAAUGCUUAGGAAUCUGCCUAUUAGUGGGGGACAACAUUCCGAAAGGAAUGCUAAUACCGCAUACGUCCUACGGGAGAAAGCAGGGGAUCUUCGGACCUUGCGCUAAUAGAUGAGCAUAAGUCGGAUUAGCUAGUUGGUGGGGUAAAGGCCUACCAAGGCGACGAUCUGUAGCGGGUCUGAGAGGAUGAUCCGCCACACUGGGACUGAGACACGGCCCAGACUUCUACGGGAGGCAGCAGUGGGGAAUAUUGGACAAUGGGGGGAACCCUGAUCCAGCCAUGCCGCGUGUGUGAAGAAGGCCUUAUGGUUGUAAAGCACUUUAAGCGAGGAGGAGGCUACUGAGACUAAUACUCUUGGAUAGUGGACGUUACUCGCAGAAUAAGCACCGGCUAACUCUGUGCCAGCCGCCGCGGUAAGAC
rnacentral:rRNA from 1 species